GCACUUAAUCUGGAUUCCGGAAUCUAAAUAACAGUUUCUAGAUGUAUGCUCUAAACUGAAUUUGAAAUUUCAGUGUGAGUGCACCAUGCAAAGGGUAGCAAUGGAAAGAAACAUGGGGAUUCCAGGUAGGGGAAGAACAUCUGCACAUGAGUGAGGCAGAAAGAUCAUAGCAUGAUAAGGAACUAAGCACCUGUCAGCACAAGUUGAUGGGCUUUGUUUGUGGUAAGAGCACCUAACAUGUGCUCUGGCCUGUCCUCAGUUUCUAAGUGCAUAAUACAGUGCUAUUAACUAUUAACAUAGUAUGCAAAAAAUCCUCAGCAACAUAUUGUCAUGUAUAUAUGACACCAUGACGUCUCUAAAGGAAGAAACAAAAAAUCAUGGAGAUGGCUAGAGACAAACAUGAAGAAAAAAAAAAAAAAGAAUCAAGAAGUCACGUCAUGGAGUUUGUAUUUCCAAACUGCACGGGUUUCCAAGUAUAAAGGAUAAACUGAAGUAUUUUUCACUUUACAAGAUCACCUGUAUGGUUUGAAAUAAAAGGAGGAGCAGGAGGGGACAAAUGGAAUUCUGAAGACAUUUAAGUGUCAGGAUCAGACUUUGGUGUGACUGAAGAAAUCUCAAAUCAUGAUUUAUGCUUUGUUCAUCCCUUCAUGUGGCAGACAUUUAUCAAACAUGUGAUAUAUCUUUCCAUGAGUACUAGACAAAGAGCAUGCGUAAGACUUUUCUUAACCUCCUGAAGCAUCCAUUUAAAGGUGUUCUUGCUUUUAAAUUUUCUCUCCCCUCUUCUAGGACUUUACAUAGUAGAGGGGGGUAGGAGAGAGGUCUAAGCCAAGAGAACAUAAAAGUGGAGAUCUGGACAUGGCAUAUUUAAGGAAAGAAAAGUAGUAAUGUAGCCAGCGGCAAGAGAGUAAGCUGAGGAUGCAAUUAGGGGAAGAAAAUAUAAGGCUUGUCAAGUCAAGGGAGAGUAAACAGAUUUGCUCCUAACCAUCAGGGCUGUCAAAAUCUAACUGUGAGAGUUUCAAGAGUAAACAGAGAAAGGCAGUUAGCAGGCCUACUAGAGGAUGAUGGUAAUGGUAAGCCAGGAUAAAUGAAGGUAGCUGGAGACUGGACACAAAUCCAAUAGGAUUUCCUGCGCAUUUGUAUGGGGGUUGGGAAUAGUAGGAGAGAAAAGUGGAAGGGUGAAGAAUGAUUCCUUAGUUUUUGGUCCAAGUUUCCAGGUGAAUAUUGGAAUGUUGGUGCCAUUACAUACAUACACACAAAACCACACACAAACACAUACACACAUAUAUACACACAAACACACUCAUAUAUAUAAAUACACACACAUAC
rnacentral:lncRNA from 1 species